rnacentral:rRNA from 1 species
AGUCGUCAGUACGGAGUUUGAUCCUGGCGUCAGGCGAACGCUGGCGGCGUAGCUUAACACAUAGCAAGUCGAACGGAGUACCUCGAAGAGAUUUCGGUCGAAUGGAGAGGACGUACUUAGUGGGCGGACGGGUGGAGUAACGCGUGAGGAACCUGCCUUUCAGAGGGGACGAACAGUUGGAAACGACUGCUAAUACCGCAUAACGUACGGGUAUCGCAUGGUACUGGUACCAAAGAUUUAUCGCUGAGAGAUGGCCUCGCGUCUGAUUAGCUAGUUGGUAGGGUAACGGCCUACCAAGGCGACGAUCAGUAGCCGGACUGAGAGGUCGGCCGGCCACAUUGGGACUGAGAUACGGCCCAGACUCCUACGGGAGGCAGCAGUGGGGAAUAUUGGGCAAUGGGCGCAAGCCUGACCCAGCAACGCCGCGUGAAGGAAGAAGGCUUUCGGGUUGUAAACUUCUUUUGACAGGGAAGAGCAGAAGACGGUACCUGUCGAAUAAGCCACGGCUAACUACGUG